CUUUGUAUAUACAGUUAUAUAAAAAUUAUAUACAAUAAUUAUUGAAAACCACUAUAAAAAUCUGUACAUAAUUAUUGAAAACCACUAUAAAAAUCUGUAAAUAAUUAUUGAAAACCACUCCACCUUUCCAGUAACAAAUUAUUUGAAAACCACUCUGUGAACAAGCAUACUCCAAAAUAUAUUAUAGAAAAAACAAACAGUUAAGGAAAGAUAAUCAAGUAGCAAGUCAUCCGCACCACCACCUACUACGAUUCCUCCUCCGACCGCCGCAAUUAUUUCUGAUCCAAGGCCUCCGUCGUCAUGGCGUGUUAACAAACGGCGGCGUCCGCCUGCUAAGGACAUGAACCGAAGAAAAAGAAGGCAACAAUGUGUAAAUUUAUUUCAUUAAAAAUUAUUGAUCUCCAAAGAAGGAAUUUGAAAUCCACUACUACCGCAUCACUACCCACUACGAAAAUAUCAAAAUCCACUAAAAUAUUAACAUAAUCUAAUACGAAAAAGAAUUACAAGAAUUACGUAAAUAGAAAAAAACAACUACAUUGCCCACACUCACCACUGUACAACCACGCAUCAAACCAAUUUCACUCAAUGCGCACACACAGUUUAAUUUACACAUCCAACAGAUCUAGUCUCUCACUCUGUUAAUAAAAUUAGGAACAUUUUCAAUAAUUUUUUAAUAUUCUCUUGUGCCUUAACAUUGACAAAAUGAUAAAGAUUAAAUCCAAGAUAUAAAUUCAAUUAAAAAAUUAGCAACAAUCAAUCAGCAUAUAAAACUAAAUAUUCAAUUAUGUGUUCUGACCAUCACCACCUAUUUCAUCGCAGAGUACCUUUCAUCUCAUAUGGAUUAAAUACAUUUUAUUUUUUCAUCCAUUUUUCUGCCCAAAAAAUAAUAUAGUAAUUAGCGUACUGUUCUCCCUCAUCUCUCUCAUGAUUCACACUAUCUAUUCUCCAAUCUCAUUUUCAACCAAAUAAAGAAUUCCUGAAUCAAUUUACCUUUGCGGCCAAAGAAAGAAAGCGUGGUUGAGACGAUCGAAAUCAGCCGUUAUCGUCACCGCGCGGAAACCCUAGCGGGCGCCUGAGCGAAUCAGCUGUCGUCAACAAUACAACCCUAGCACCACCUUUGACAAGAGGAUUCUAGGGGAGAAGAUUGCCCCCAACUUCCGCCGUCGUGGAGAUUGGCCCCAACUUCCGCCGUCGUCACUUGCUUCAACGACCAUUGUUUGCCAUGGUGG
rnacentral:lncRNA from 1 species